rnacentral:rRNA from 1 species
GAUGAACGCUGGCGGCGUGCCUAAUACAUGCAAGUCGAGCGAACGGACGAGAAGCUUGCUUCUCUAAUGUUAGCGGCGGACGGGUGAGUAACACGUGGAUAACCUACCUAUAAGACUGGGAUAACUUCGGGAAACCGGAGCUAAUACCGGAUAAUAUUUUGAACCGCAUGGUUCAAAAGUGAAAGACGGUCUUGCUGUCACUUAUAGAUGGAUCCGCGCUGCAUUAGCUAGUUGGUAAGGUAACGGCUUACCAAGGCAACGAUGCAUAGCCGACCUGAGAGGGUGAUCGGCCACACUGGAACUGAGACACGGUCCAGACUCCUACGGGAGGCAGCAGUAGGGAAUCUUCCGCAAUGGGCGAAAGCCUGACGGAGCAACGCCGCGUGAGUGAUGAAGGUCUUCGAAUCGUAAAACUCUGUUAUUAGGGAAGAACAUAUGUGUAAGUAACUGUGCACAUCUUGACGGUACCUAAUCAGAAAGCCACGGCUAACUACGUG